rnacentral:rRNA from 1 species
UACGUAGGGUGCGAGCGUUAAUCGGAAUUACUGGGCGUAAAGCGUGCGCAGGCGGUUUUGUAAGCCAGAUGUGAAAUCCCCGGGCUUAACCUGGGAAUGGCAUUUGGGACUGCAAGGCUGGAGUGUGGCAGAGGAGACUGGAAUUCCUGGUGUAGCAGUGAAAUGCGUAGAUAUCAGGAGGAACACCGGUGGCGAAGGCGGGUCUCUGGGCCGAAACUGACGCUGAGGAGCGAAAGCGUGGGGAGCAAACAGG